CCCCUUCCACCUGAGCUGCAGUUUCUGGCGAAAUAGCUUGCUAUUCCCCAGCAAACCGAAGGGACUGUCUCAGCACCAGGAACCCUGCCACCUUCUGAGACCUCCUCUUCUGCUCAUACACCUGAACCACCACACACUGGUUCUUCGGUUGUUGAUGUUGUUCCCCCACCGAGACUCAGACCAGCACCUCAGACAACUGAUA